UCGGUUGAUCCUGCCGGAGGCUACUGCUAUCGGGGUUCGAUUAAGCCAUGCGAGUUAAAUGUUCUUCGUGAACAUAGCGAACUGCUCAGUAACACGUGGAUAACCUACCCUUAGGACCGGAAUAACCCCGGGAAACUGGGGAUAAUACCGGAUAAGCCAUAGACGCUGGAAUGCCCUAUGGUUCAAAGCUCAGGCGCCUAAGGAUGGAUCUGCGGUCUAUCAGGUAGUAGUGGGUGUAACGUACCUACUAGCCGACGACGGAUACGGGUUGUGAGAGCAAGGGCCCGGAGAUGGAUUCUGAGACACGAAUCCAGGCCCUACGGGGUGCAGCAGGCGCGAACACUUUACAAUGCGGGAAACCGCGAUAAGGGAACCCCGAGUGCCAGCAUCAAAUGUUGGCUGUCCGGAUGAUUAAAAAUCAUUUGUUAGCAAGGGCCGGGCAAGACCGGUGCCAGCCGCCGCGGUAACACCGGCGGCCCGAGUGGUAGCCGUUUUUAUUGGGUCUAAAGGGUCCGUAGCCGGCCUGAUAAGUCCUUUGGGAAAUCUGGCAGCUUAACUGUCAGGCUUCUAAGGGACACUGUCAGGCUUGGGACCGGAAGAGGUAAGGGGUACUCCAGGGGUAGGAGUGAAAUCUUGUAAUCCCUGGGGGANCAUCUGUGGCGAAGGCGCCUUACCAGAACGGGUCCGACGGUGAGCGACGAAAGCUAGGGGAGCAAACCGGAUUAGAUACCCGGGUAGUCCUAGCUGUAAACGAUGCUCGCUAGGUGUCAGANACGGUGCGACCGUGUUUGNUGCCNCAGGGAAANCCGUU
rnacentral:rRNA from 1 species